rnacentral:rRNA from 1 species
AUUGAACGCUGGCGGCAUGCUUUACACAUGCAAGUCGAACGGCAGCGGGGGCUUCGGCCUGCCGGCGAGUGGCGAACGGGUGAGUAAUGCAUCGGAACGUGCCCAUGUCGUGGGGGAUAACGUAGCGAAAGCUACGCUAAUACCGCAUACGUCCUGAGGGAGAAAGCGGGGGGAUCUUUGGACCUCGCGCGAUUGGAGCGGCCGAUGUCGGAUUAGCUAGUAGGUGAGGUAAAGGCUCACCUAGGCGACGACCCGUAGCGGGUCUGAGAGGAUGAUCCGCCACACUGGGACUGAGACACGGCCCAGACUCCUACGGGAGGCAGCAGUGGGGAAUUUUGGACAAUGGGGGCAACCCUGAUCCAGCCAUGCCGCGUGAGUGAAGAAGGCCUUCGGGUUGUAAG